rnacentral:rRNA from 1 species
GAUGAACGCUGGCGGCGUGCCUAAUACAUGCAAGUCGAGCGAACAGACGAGGAGCUUGCUCCUCUGACGUUAGCGGCGGACGGGUGAGUAACACGUGGAUAACCUACCUAUAAGACUGGGAUAACUUCGGGAAACCGGAGCUAAUACCGGAUAAUAUAUUGAACCGCAUGGUUCAAUAGUGAAAGACGGUUUUGCUGUCACUUAUAGAUGGAUCCGCGCCGCAUUAGCUAGUUGGUAAGGUAACGGCUUACCAAGGCAACGAUGCGUAGCCGACCUGAGAGGGUGAUCGGCCACACUGGAACUGGGACACGGUCCAGACUCCUGCGGGAGGCAGCAGUAGGGAAUCUUCCGCAAUGGGCGAAAGCCUGACGGAGCAACGCCGCGUGAGUGAUGAAGGUCUUCGGAUCGUAAAACUCUGUUAUUAGGGAAGAACAAAUGUGUAAGUAACUAUGCACGUCUUGACGGUACCUAAUCAGAAAGCCACGGCUAACUACGUG